rnacentral:rRNA from 1 species
GACGAACGCUGGCGGCGUGCUUAACACAUGCAAGUCGAACGGAAAGGCCCUGCUUUUGUGGGUUGCUCGAGUGGCGAACGGGUGAGUAACACGUGAGUAACCUGCCCUUGACUUUGGGAUAACUUCAGGAAACUGGGGCUAAUACCGGAUAGGAGCUCCUGCUGCAUGGUGUUGUUUGGAAAGUUUCGGCGGUUCGGGAUGGACUCGCGGCUUAUCAGCUUGUUGGUGGGGUAGUGGCUUACCAAGGGUUUGACGGGUAGCCGGCCUGAGAGGGUGACCGGCCACAUGGGGACUGAGAGACGGCCCAGACUCCUACGGGAGGCAGCAGUGGGGAAUAUUGCACAAUGGGCGGAAGCCUGAGGCAGCAACGCCGCGUGCGGGAUGACGGCCUUCGGGUUGUAAACCGCUUUCGCCUGUGACGAAGCGUGAGUGACGGUAAUGGGUAAAGAAGCAACGGCUAACUACGUG